rnacentral:rRNA from 1 species
GGUUAAGCGACUAAGCGUACACGGUGGAUGCCUAGGCAAUCAGAGGCGAUGAAGGACGUGCUAAUCUGCGAUAAGCGUCGGUAAGGUGAUAUGAACCGUUAUAACCGACGAUUUCCGAAUGGGGAAACCCAGUGCAAUUCGUUGCACUAUCGUUUGAUGAAUACAUAGUCAAACGAAGCGAACCGGGGGAACUGAAACAUCUCAGUACCCCGAGGAAAAGAAAUCAACCGAGAUUCCCCUAGUAGCGGCGAGCGAACGGGGAGCAGCCCAGAGUCUUAAUCAGCAUUAGCAUCAGGAGAACGGUCUGGAAAGUCCGGCAGUAAAGGGUGAUAGCCCCGUAUCCGAAGGUGUUAGUGUUGUGAACUCGACGAGUAGGGCGGGACACGUGUUAUCCUGUCUGAAUAUGGGGGGACCAUCCUCCAAGGCUAAAUACUCCUGAUUGACCGAUAGUGAACCAGUACCGUGAGGGAAAGGCGAAAAGAACCCCGGCGAGGGGAGUGAAAUAGAACCUGAAACCGUGUACGUACAAGCAGUGGGAGCCUUGAUUUAUCAGGGUGACUGCGUACCUUUUGUAUAAUGGGUCAGCGACUUAUAUUCUGUAGCAAGGUUAACCGUAUAGGGGAGCCGUAGGGAAACCGAGUCUUAACUGGGCGAAUGAGUUGCAGGGUAUAGACCCGAAACCCGGUGAUCUAGCCAUGGGCAGGUUGAAGGUUGGGUAACACUAACUGGAGGACCGAACCGACUAAUGUUGAAAAAUUAGCGGAUGACUUGUGGCUGGGGGUGAAAGGCCAAUCAAACCGGGAGAUAGCUGGUUCUCCCCGAAAGCUAUUUAGGUAGCGCCUCGUGAACUCAUCUUCGGGGGUAGAGCACUGUUUCGACUAGGGGGUCAUCCCGACUUACCAACUCGAUGCAAACUACGAAUACCGAAGAAUGUUAUCACGGGAGACACACGGCGGGUGCUAACGUUCGUCGUGAAGAGGGAAACAACCCAGACCGCCAGCUAAGGUCCCAAAGUCAUAGUUAAGUGGGAAACGAAGUGGGAAGGCUCAGACAGCCAGGAUGUUGGCUUAGAAGCAGCCAUCAUUUAAAGAAAGCGUAAUAGCUCACUGGUCGAGUCGGCCUGCGCGGAAGAUGUAACGGGGCUAAACUAUGCACCGAAGCUGCGGCAGCGAUAUGUAAAUAUUGUUGGGUAGGGGAGCGUUCUGUAAGCCUGUGAAGGUGUACUGUGAGGUAUGCUGGAGGUAUCAGAAGUGCGAAUGCUGACAUAAGUAACGAUAAUGCGGGUGAAAAACCCGCACGCCGGAAGACCAAGGGUUCCUGUCCAACGUUAAUCGGGGCAGGGUGAGUCGACCCCUAAGGCGAGGCAGAAAUGCGUAGUCGAUGGGAAACGGGUUAAUAUUCCCGUACUGGUGAUAAUUGCGAUGGGGGGACGGAGAAGGCUAGGCUAUCCGGGCGACGGUUGUCCCGGUUUAAGAAUGUAGGCAGGUGAAUUAGGCAAAUCCGGUUCACUAUAUGCUGAGGUUCGAUGACGAGUCACUACGGUGAUGAAGUAGCUCAUGCCCCGCUUCCAGGAAAAGCCUCUAAGCUCUAGAUUAUCAUUAAUCGUACCCCAAACCGACACAGGUGGUCAGGUAGAGAAUACUCAGGCGCUUGAGAGAACUCGGGUGAAGGAACUAGGCAAAAUGGUGCCGUAACUUCGGGAGAAGGCACGCUGGCGCUAGGUGAAGUCCCUCGCGGAUGGAGCUGAAGCCAGUCGCAGAUACCAGCUGGCUGCAACUGUUUAUUAAAAACACAGCACUGUGCAAACACGAAAGUGGACGUAUACGGUGUGACGCCUGCCCGGUGCUGGAAGGUUAAUUGAUGGGGUUAUCCGUAAGGAGAAGCUCUUGAUCGAAGCCCCAGUAAACGGCGGCCGUAACUAUAACGGUCCUAAGGUAGCGAAAUUCCUUGUCGGGUAAGUUCCGACCUGCACGAAUGGCGUAAUGAUGGCCAGGCUGUCUCCACCCGAGACUCAGUGAAAUUGAACUCGCUGUGAAGAUGCAGUGUACCCGCGGCAAGACGGAAAGACCCCGUGAACCUUUACUAUAGCUUGACACUGAACAUUGAGCCUUGAUGUGUAGGAUAGGUGGGAGGCUUCGAAGCGUGGACGCCAGUCUGCGUGGAGCCAACCUUGAAAUACCACCCUUUAAUGUUUGAUGUUCUAACGUUGCCCCGUUAUCCGGGGUGCGGACAGUGUCUGGUGGGUAGUUUGACUGGGGCGGUCUCCUCCCAAAGAGUAACGGAGGAGCACGAAGGUUGGCUAAGCAUGGUCGGACAUCAUGCGGUUAGUGCAAAGGCAUAAGCCAGCUUGACUGCGAGAGUGACGGCUCGAGCAGGUACGAAAGUAGGUCUUAGUGAUCCGGUGGUUCUGAAUGGAAGGGCCAUCGCUCAACGGAUAAAAGGUACUCCGGGGAUAACAGGCUGAUACCGCCCAAGAGUUCAUAUCGACGGCGGUGUUUGGCACCUCGAUGUCGGCUCAUCACAUCCUGGGGCUGAAGUAGGUCCCAAGGGUACGGCUGUUCGCCGUUUAAAGUGGUACGCGAGCUGGGUUUAGAACGUCGUGAGACAGUUCGGUCCCUAUCUGCCGUGGGCGUUGGAAGAUUGAAAGGGGCUGCUCCUAGUACGAGAGGACCGGAGUGGACGCACCACUGGUGUUCGGGUUGUCAUGCCAAUGGCAUUGCCCGGUAGCUAAGUGCGGAAGAGAUAACCGCUGAAAGCAUCUAAGCGGGAAACUUGCCUUGAGAUGAGUCUUCCCUGACCCUUUAAGGGUCCUAAAGGAACGUUUAAGACUAAGACGUUGAUAGGUUGGGUGUGUAAGCAUAGCGAUAUGUUGAGCUAACCAAUACUAAUGAACCGUGAGGCUUAACCUG